UAACGCGGUAAGCAACCUGACCUUUUGUGUGUGGAAUAACAACCGGAAACAGUUGCUAAGUACCGCAUAACGCACAGAAAUCGCAUGUUUUUUGUGCCAAAGAUUUAUCGCACAAAGAUGGGCGUUGCGUCCGAUUAGAUAGUUGGCGGGGUAACGGCCCACCAAGUCAACGAUCGGUAGCCGGACUGAGAGGUUGAACGGCCACAUUGGAACUGAGAUACGGUCCAGACUCCUACGGGAGGCAGCAGUGGGGAAUAUUGGGCAAUGGACGAAAGUCUGAACCCCCAGCGACGCCGCGUGAGGGAAGAAGGUCUUCGGAUUGUAAACCUUAGUCAACAGGGACGAAGCAAGUGACGGUACCUGUGGAGGAAGCCACGGCUAACUACGUGCCAGCCGCUGC
rnacentral:rRNA from 1 species